CCCAGUUCUCACUCCCCUUGGGUGUCGGGUUUCUAAAGCCAAUCGGCGUCGCCGUGGUUCGGAUUCUAAAGUCUCCACGCACCCACGGGGACUCAAAUUCUCCCCAAAUGCGGAGGUUGGGGUCAUGGGUCCCCGAACCCUUCUCCUGCUGCUCUGGGGGGCCCUGGCCCUGACCGAGACCUGGGCAGGCUCCCACUCCUUGAGGUAUCUGAGCACCGCCGUGUCCCGGCCCGGCCGCGGGGAGCCCAGAUACAGGUACACCGCAGUGGGCUACGUGGACUACACGCAGUUCGUGCGGUUUGACAGCGACGACCCGAGUCCGAGGAUGGAGCCGCGGGCGCCGUGGGUGGAGCAGGAGGGGCCAGGGUAUUGGGACCAGGGGACACGGGUCUUCAAGGCCAACGCCCAGACUGACCGAGUGAAACUGCGGAAACUGCUUCGCUACUACAACCAGAGCGAGGGCGGGUCUCACACCCUCCAGGGAAUGAAUGGCUGCGAUGUGGCGCCCGAUGGACACUUCCUCCGCGGGUAUCACCAGCACACCUACGACGGCAAGGACUACAUCUCCCUGAACGAGGACCUGCGCUCCUGGACCUCGGCGGACUCUGUGGCUCAGAUCACCCAGCGCAUGUAUGAGGCAGAGAACUAUGCAGAGGAGUUCAGCACCUACCUGAAGGGCGGGUGCGUGGAGUGGCUCCGCAGAUACCUGGAGAACGGGAAGGAGACGCUGCAGCGCGCGGAUCCUCCAAAGGCACACAUUGCCCACCACCCCAUCUCUGACCAUGAGGCCACCCUGAGGUGCUGGGCCCUGACCCUGACCCGGCUUCUACCAUGCGCGAGAUCACGCUGACCUGGCAGAGAGAUGGGGAGGAACAGACCCAGGACACAGAGCUUGCGGAGACCAGGCCUGCAGGGGAUGGAACCUUCCAGAAGUGGCAGCUUGUGGUGGUGCAUUUCUGGGGAGGAGCCAGAGAUACACAUGCCAUGUGCCAGCACAGAGGGGUUGACCUGGAGCCCCUCACCCCUGAGAUGGGAGCCGUCUUCUCAGCCCACCAUCCCCUUCGUGGACAUUGUUGCUGGCCUGGGUGUUCUUGGAGCUGUGGUCACUGGAGCUGUGGUCACUGCUGUGAUGUGGAGGAAGAAGAUCCAGGGAAGGGAUCUGCAGUUGUACAUUUCUGGAAAAUUCUCUGGGAUCAAAGACUAGAGGGUUGCUCUAGGGUCUUAUGGCCCUGCCUCCUUUCUGGCCUCUCACAGGACAUUUUCUUCUCACAGAUAGAAACAGAGAGAGCUGCUCUCAGGUUGCAAUGUGAGAUAGCCGCCUUGUGUGGGACUGAGAAGCAGGAUUUGUUCACGCCUCCCUUUUGUGACUUCGAGUACCCUGAAUUCUCUUUCUGCAAAGGUGUCCAAAUGUGUCUUCAUCCCUGUUAGUAUAACGUGAGAAGGUGGGGGACCAGUCCACCCCCAUGUCCUCCAUGACCCCCUUCCCCGCACUGCCCCAUGUUGUUUCUGCCUAAUUAUGUUUCCUGUUCCAGAGACAUGGGGCUUGGAUGUCUUUAUCUCUGUCUGAACUUCAUGGUGUACUGAGCUGCAAUUUCCUACUUCCCUAUAAAAAUUAGAGUCUGAAUAUAAAUUUACUUCUUCAAAUUCUUGCCAUGAGAAGUUGAUGUGUUAAUUAAAGGAGGAGAUUACUAAAAUUUAAGAGACAAAAUAAAUGGAAGACCUGAGAACCUUCCAGA